rnacentral:lncRNA from 1 species
UUUUUGUGUGUGUGUGUGUGUAUAUAUAUGUAUAUAUAUAAAUAAAUAUUAUAUACGGUUGUUACUUUGGUUUAAUAUGUUGGUCCAAGUGAAUUAUCUAGAUCAAGAAUUUAAGUAUCGUGGCACGAGAUAGUAUCGAAAACUUACCGCUACGGUAUAACACGGUACGUGUCGAGCCGUGCCGAUGGUACUGGUCAAAAAAAUUCUUAUGUGCUGACACAUAUAAUAGCAAUAAAUAUUUAUUUUCUUUAGCAACAAAAUAUUCUAACUAUUUAUUAUGUUUUUUUAUCACAUCUUUUGAACUUUAUUAAGAAAAUAAUUUAUUAAUUUAAAAAAUAGAGGGUUUUAAACUGUGCCAUUGGUACGGGAUCUACAUCGUACCAGUAUCUUAUUGACAUAGUAUGACACUGUGGAUAUGGCCCGUACCGACGGGCACUUAAAACCUUGAUCUAGAUACUCUUAAUUGAAAGAGAGCUACUCUUUUACAAGUUGAGAA